rnacentral:rRNA from 1 species
UACAGAGGUCCCAAGCGUUGUUCGGAAUCACUGGGCGUAAAGGGUGCGUAGGCGGCGCGGUAAGUCGGGUGUGAAAUCUCGGAGCUUAACUCCGAAACUGCAUUUGAUACUGCGGUGCUUGAGGACUGGAGAGGAGACUGGAAUUUACGGUGUAGCAGUGAAAUGCGUAGAGAUCGUAAGGAAGACCAGUGGCGAAGGCGGGUCUCUGGACAGUUCCUGACACUGAGGCACGAAGGCCAGGGGAGCAAACGGG